rnacentral:snoRNA from 1 species
AUUCCAUGGUUUGGGCAUUUCCUCAUCAUCUCAUUAAACCUAUUUCAUGCCUCGUGGUAGCUUUCUUCCUCUUUCUGUUGAAAGGUUUGAAUCUCCAAUUUGAUUUU